GAGACGCCGCCGCUCGUUGGACUCCCGGCGGACGACGGCGCUUUGUAUCCUCCACUCUUACACAGCCCUCUCAUUUAGUUUCAUGUUUUCUUUGAUGAUAUUCUUGUCGAUCAAUUCAAAUUUCAAGUUUCGGCUUUGCUUCGAGUAACAACAAUCUUCGACGGCGAUGUAUCCACGAAACGUGUUCGGCAUUACAGCUGAUAUUUAUCAUAUUUAUCACACUGCUAUGGAUCGUGACAUCAAAAUGUCCAUUAACGGUUAAACUGCAGAAAGGAAAUAUAUUUUAUUCAGGAAGCUUUACAUUUCAAUGAAGCCUUGAAAACAAAAAAUUUGCAAUUUUGUU